AUGGAAAGUGCAAACGCAGAGCAACAGCGACCUCGUUGGCGCCGGUGGAGGAGGAGGACUCUGCGGGUUUCCCGUAGGCUGCUCUGCUGCUCAUGUUGGCGCGGUGAGGAGAGGGAUCCUCUGCAGCAGCAGGAAAGGAAGAUCAAUGGGGGCUCUCGGCAUCCACACUUGGAUCAGCGGGGAUCAGGUGAGAGGGAGGCUAUCCAGAUUACGGUAGAGGACCUGGGGAUAGUUAACACCGGCUUUAGCCUGUGCGAGGAGGACACCCCGACCUCGGGCAACAGCACGGCCCGCUCAGCUAGCUCCGUGUCCGCCUGCCUGAGGGCUCUGAAAAAGAAACGACUGGGGCCUCUGUUUUCACUCCCUAUGGACAUGCAGGGAAAACUGGCCAUCACUUCUACCAGUGGAGAAGGUGGUGAUGAAGAGGACGACGACCCGCUGGUGUUUGAGAGUGGCACUGAUGUCACGCCAGCUCCUGGAAGCCUCCUAUCACCGCCCGUCAUUAAUCUGAUCCCACCCACUCCAUCCGAUGUCGUUGACGACGAUCAGUUCUUUGACGUUAAUUUGGAAGACAUUGUGGCAAACGAUGCUGUCAGCGGUGGAAGCUCUGGUGCUGGUGACCACGAGCGCUACAAGGAAUCGAUGAAGGGUGCCGAGGCAAAGGAGUCAACCGUGGAAUUUCCACCGGCAGAGAGUAAGGUCAGUGCUGAUGAUUCAGCUGGGCUUGAAGAGGCCCCACGUGACGGGUCUGGAGAAGAAGAAGAGGCAGAGACAACCAAAGAUGGGGACGAGGAGAAAACAAAGCCAAGGCUCUUACGUUGUGCGUACCAGGUGGCUCCUCUCCCUAAGUACACUCAGAAAAAUGAACUGAGCAACACAGAUGUGAACUGCUCCGACAUGCCGAAAGCUGAACUCUGCCUGCUUCCUGCCAACAUGGACACAUUUACUCACCAAAGGAGGCUCAUAACGCGCUCCUGCAGUCUUGAAGACACACCGACCAGGAGCGCCACUUUCCACUCUUUGACCCAGACCACAGACCACCAGGAAGAUGAGAGGUCGCUCCGACAGCGCCGCAUAACCGUUGCAUCAUAUAUGCCUCAGUCUCAGGAUCAGAAUGGAAACUUCCCUGAGAAGGACGUCGACAGGCAAGUGGCCAAAUGUCUUGGGGAACUGAGCACAGAUGAAGUCUGCCGCUGGUUUACCAAUAUCGGACUGCAGAAAUGUCUUCCUUUCAUCCGAGAUGUAAACCUGUGUGGAGCAGACGUAGCAUCGGUGGAUGUGAACACUCUGGACGUCCUGCACAUCACCACCCUGGAGGAGAGGGAGAAGCUGCUGUCUGCCGUUUAUAAGGAGCUACACCCUUCCAGCCCAAUCACCCAGAGACUCGACUCUCUGCUCGAUUCGUUGGGCCCGAACAGUGUGGAGACAUUCACCGCGACAUUAGUGUCAAUGAGCAAAUCUAAGUCCUCUCCACAUGUGAGCUGCCUGAGCAUGAAUCGGCGUUCCCUAAAGCGCAGAAACACCAGCCAAACCCCCUUGGCACAGAGGAAUUCUCAGCUGAUCGAGAUAGCAAUUAAUGCAUCAGAGCGGAUAGUUCAUCUCCGAACCCCAAAGGAAACAACAGUGGGGAAAAUCAUGGAUUCAUGCAUCAAAAUGUUGGGAAUGACAGAAGACAGGAGCCUUUUCAUACUGAGAGAAAAGCAAGGUUCAUCGGAAGACCUCCCCCCAGAUCAGCUGAUCGCCAGCCUACUGACAUCGACAUCAGAGGACAGGCAGUUGGAGCUGCACUUGUGUAAAACGGACGGGUCAUCUGGAACCAUAGCAAAACAAAAUCCAGGAGUCCACAGCUCUAAUGAGAAUAACAACAUCAACAAAAAUGCCCUGGUGAACCGGCCAGCCAAAGAAGAGAGGAUCAAAGAACUAAACCAGCAGGUGGAAUCGCUCCAAAAUGUCAUCCUUCAGGUCCAGGAGCUCCACCACGGCCUGGUGGCAUUUUGCUCAGAGAUAAAGAACAUGGAUGGAGACGUGGAUGUGGACAGGCUUAGCUCCGCUGAGCUGAAGGAGAGGUCGCAGUUGGUUAAAAGCCGCCUGAAUGACAAGAGGCGGAGCCUGCAGACCCUCAGAGACAACAUUAACGACUCCACUGCUCACAAAAAGAAACAGUUGGACGUACGUCUCUUGGAAAAGAUGAAACUGAACUGCCAGGUGUUUAAGGAGGAAAUUUCCAUGGUACAUCUCAAUCGGCAGAUGGCACACCUCCAAAAUGCUUUGCAAGAAAGCUACGUUAAGGAGAAAGUUCAGAGAAAAAGUUUGGCCAUUGGUAGCCUGAGCCAGCUGGUGUCCCCGCAGUCUCCUGCCAUGCUGCUGGUUGUGCAGGAGAACCGAAACCCCGAUGGCCAGUACGGCUUCUCGUGUUGCUACAGGGAAGGCAGCGGACUACUGGUGGUCAAGGUGGAAAACUGCCAACUCUGUGUUGACGACAGGCUGGUGGAGGUGAAUGGUGUGCCGGUGGUUAACUCUACACAGGAAGAGCUGACCACCAUCUUACUGGAGGGACCCAGCGCCAAUAUUGUUGUCCUUCGCCAGCCCCCGCUCCCCCCCCACCUCCGUAGUCCUGCAGCGCAUCAUCACCUCUGA
ensembl:lncRNA